ACCUAAUCCCUUUUUCAAUGUCUUGAUCUGUUAUGUGGAGUUAAUGUUUACUGUUCUUUCCUAGGACGGUCUCGUAUGACUUUGAAGUUGAUGUAAUUCACAGGACGCUUCCGUAUUUUCUGGAUUACACCUAGAGCUGAAGAGGCCCCUCUGGAAGGGCCGUGGAAGAUGCUUCUUCAGCUCAUGAGCAGCUGCCAUUUUCCCCCUUGGAUGAAGCCAUUGUCCCCAUUUCCUUUUGAUGCUGUCAAAGCUAUUAAUGAACCCUCCUCCUAGCACCUGGCCCUGGCCCUGCAUAGAGGAGAGGAGGUACCUUCUUGAUCUGAGAGAAUGCUGAGCCUGGGUGGCAGACGAGCCUCAGCAGGGUGCCGUGAAGAUUCAGGGAGGGUCAAGACCAAAGCUCUAGAUUCCAAAAAUUCAUGAAUUGGAUAAACUGAAGGCCAAUGAGCUUAGAGUUGAUCCUGGGGAAAAUUCUGGAGCAGACAAUCCAGAUCAUCCAGUGACUGGUGAUAUGUGUGUCAACCUUCAGGACCCAAGGGAUGUAGUAUAUGGGGUGAACACUUUGCCACAGGGCCCUGCUUUUAACAAUAAUUUGACUGUCUCUCGUGAAACCCCUAUGGACAGAACAGUGGCAAACAAGCUGCUGGAGCCUGAAGAUGCGUCUGUGGAAGGUGGCACAACUGGUGCAAGGCCACACUCCCAAUUAAGGCCAGGGCUGGAACCCUUGGACAGGCCCUGUGUCCCAGGUGAAAGUUCUGACACUGCCCAGGACUCCUGAGCAUGGGGAGGUGGAACUGUGACAGCAGAUGGGAUGGUGUCAUCCCAAGGCAUUCCCUGGUGGCCUGCCAAGCAGUUCUGUCCUUGGCCUUAAGCUCUUUAACAUUCUAUCAACAACUUGGAUGAGGCCAAAGAUAACUGCUUAUCAACUGUGCAAAUAACACCAGUCUGGGAAGGAAGGCCAAUAUGUUGGAACUGCAGAUCAGGAUCCAAAAUUAUCUCAACAGCAAGGAAUGAUUGGUUGAAUCCAACAAGAUAAAUUUAACAGGAAUACAUGUAAGGUCCUGUAUUUAGCUCCAAAACUUGAUUGCAAAAGUGUAGGAUGUGCUUGGGAAACAUGUCCAACCCUAUCCAUAAUCAAAGAAAUGCAAAUUAAAGCAACCAUGAGAUAAUUGUUUUUUCUUAUCAGAUUGGCAAUGAUUAAAAGAAUGAAAAUUCCCCAAGUUGGUGGCUAGAGUGUGGGGAAAUAGGCUUUCUUGUAAACCACUUGUGGGCGUAUAAACAAGAUCUCCCUUCCUGGAGGGUAAUCAUGAAACAUAUUGCAAAAACUCUAAAAUGCACCAUUUGUCCAAGAAGUUUCAUUUAUAGAAAUGUAUCCAAAGACAAAUAUGAGAAGAUUUAUGCACAAGUAUAUUCAUAAAAGCACUGUUCAAAAAAGACACUGUUUGGGGGAAGGAAGGUGUUCAGUUUAGGAACAGAAGACUUGGAGGCCUCAGAAAGGUACCAAGUGGCUAUUGUCAAAUACGUGGUGCCAAAAAACGGGAGGAAGCAGGGUCUUUACAGGUCCUGAGGCCAGACUUACAAGAUCAUGACUACAUCUUUUAAGACCAGAGUUUCUGAUAAACAGAUUUGGCCUAACAUUACAGAGAAGAUUCUAGCAGUUAAUUCUGUCCAAAACCAGGGCAGGCUGCCUCACACCUUCCUCCAAGGGUGUGGAGGACACAAGCAGGGUAUUUAGCCACUGGGAUGAAACAUUUUUAUGGUUUCUUUCAACAGGAAGAGGCACUGAAACUUUGUUGCACGAAACUACUCAAGGCAGAGCCACCGCUCAAGGUGGAGCAGGUGGGAACACUCAUCAGGUUCCACUUCCAGACCUGAAUUCCAGAAAUGAAGUGAGGACCCUUCCAGUUGUCCAUUGGCACCCUUACUGAGAGCCUGCAGGAGAUGACCCCCAUCCCUCCUCUUGCCUCAAUAUUUUAGGAACUCUUUAGCACCCCAUGGGAAACGCAAGAGAACACUUAGCUGAACUUGAAAAGGAAUAAAGAUAAGCUCUCCUUCUGUCACCUAAUUCUGCUGUAUUGGGGCUGCCAGAACACAGACAGAAGAGCUAAGGGUUUCACGGCUCUAUCUAUAUCUCCUCUUUUGCAUUCCUCUCAUCUGAGACUUUCUGUUUAAAUCAGCAGUCACGUGUGUCUAAAGCAUAUCUCACCUGUAUCUCCAAAUACAGAGCAGCCAGUGUUCGGGAGGCGUAUCCUCAGUGUUCUCUCGCUCACCACUUCAGUCGAUUAAGCCUUUCCCAGCCUCCUUUUCACUCCAUCCUUCCACCAAACAUGUCAGGGUGCCUUUAGGAAGACUAUCCCUUGGCAAACCUAUAAGGAACCCUUGCUGCAAGUGAGGCAUCAAACACUGUUAUGCUACCUCUGGGACCAAGGUAGCCUCCCUCCAGCCCAUUUGUGGCCAGAGUAAUCUUUUCAUAAUUUUUUUUUUUUUUUUUAUGCUGGGGAUGGAACAGGGCCUCAUACAUGCUAAGCAAGCACUGUAACACUGAAUUGCACCCACCUUUUUUGACAGUGUCUUGCUGAGUUGCCCGUGCUGGCCUCAAACUUACAAUCCUCCUGCCUCAGCCUUCCCACUAGCUGGUGGGAUUAUAGGCGUGUGUCACUCUGCCCAGCUUAUAAGACAACUGUGACCACGUCACUCCUAACAACAGCUCUAAGUAGCCUCCAAGGCCCUGCGCUAAUUGUCCCUUGCUCACCCCCAACAUAUCUCCUACCAAGACCCCUUGCACUGAGCUCAGGCCGUAUGGGCCUUCCAUUUCUUCUAACUUGUCACACUCCUUCCAGACAUAGAAUCUGCACAUAUUCUUUCCCCUGCCUGGAAAUUUCUACUUGUCCCAUCCCUCCUUCCCACACUUCCUUUGGAUCUAAUGUUAUGAGCUGAAUCAUGCUCUGUCUCCCCUUAAACUCAUAUGCUGAAGCUCUAAUCCUCAGUGUGUCAGAAAGUGACUGCAUUUGGAGAUGAGGACUUAACAAGGUAAUAAAUUAAAAUGAAAUUGUCAAGCACCUGCAUCCAUAGUCCCAGCUACUCAGAGGAUGUCUUGAGCCUAGGAGUUCAACACCAACUUAGGCAACAUGGUGAGGCUCGGACUCAACAGAAAAAAGGAGAGAUGUCAACAGAGUCUGAUCUGACUGGUGUCCUUAGAAGAGAUUAGGAUACCAGUGAGACACCAAGGGUGUGAGUGCAAACAGAGGAAAGACUGUGUGAGGACAUGGCAAGAGGGUGGCUGACUGCAAGUCAAGGAGAGAGGCCUCGGGAGAAACCCCGCCUGCUGGCACCUUGAUUGUGGACCUCAGCCUUCACACCUGUGAGGAACUAAGG
rnacentral:lncRNA from 1 species